GACGAACGCUGGCGGCGUGCUUAACACAUGCAAGUCGAACGGAAAGGCCCUGCUUUUGUGGGGUGCUCGAGUGGCGAACGGGUGAGUAACACGUGAGUAACCUGCCCUUGACUUUGGGAUAACUUCAGGAAACUGGGGCUAAUACCGGAUAGGAGCUCCUGCUGCAUGGUGGGGGUUGGAAAGUUUCGGCGGUUGGGGAUGGACUCGCGGCUUAUCAGCUUGUUGGUGGGGUAGUGGCUUACCAAGGCUUUGACGGGUAGCCGGCCUGAGAGGGUGACCGGCCACAUUGGGACUGAGAUACGGCCCAGACUCCUACGGGAGGCAGCAGUGGGGAAUAUUGCACAAUGGGCGGAAGCCUGAUGCAGAAACGCCGCGUGCGGGAUGCCGGCCUUCGGGUUGUAAACCGCUUUCGACUGUGACGAAGCGUGAGUGACGGUAAUGGGUAAAGAAGCACCGGCUAACUACGUG
rnacentral:rRNA from 1 species